UGAAACUGAAGAGAGACAGCGUCACGUGGGUCGCAAGCAGUUGAGAAGAUACGCCAGUAACCCGGCCGUGCGCAGGGGGCAGGGCAUCCCGAAGACCCUGGGCCGUCCCCCUGUCGCGGCCUGCACCCUGUGUGCAGUUACAGAGGGCACGUCGGUCAGCAGCCCUGUCCGUAAAUCCUAACAUCUGAGGCAGAAGUGCGGGCUCCAGGCUGCCCUCCACACGGCGGUGGUGACCCCAUGGCAGCGAACGGUGGUCUUCCCAGACCGCUGCUGGCACCAGAGAUUCCACUAAGAGAGGGUGCCAACCGGACAAGCAAAACACUGUGUCGGUGAAUUAAUUUAUUUAUCUCUGCCAUUAGGAGAUUAGACUUCUUCCCAUGUUUACUGAGCUGAGGGGGCGGGGGGAGGGCCCCCAGGGACACGUGGAGUCAGGGACUUCCUUGUCUGGGCCACUUCUAAUCUGUUCCAUGUUUCAAAAUGUUGGCAGCUGGGACUAAGUUCCUCAACGCCAACGAUGGGGGCACAAGUGUGCCCGGACCCCACUUCACCCUCCGGGUAGGGCCAGCUCAGCGGAUUCUAAUGGCGCCCACAACGGAGAUGUGCACUGAACACCAUGAGAUGUUCCUUAAAACUCCGCCCGAAAGAAAAACGCAGCGUUCAGCCCAGAGAAGAGAUGAUCUGAUAACUAACCAGCACACCGGGCACA